GACGAACGCUGGCGGCAGGCUUAACACAUGCAAGUCGAGCGCCCCGCAAGGGGAGCGGCGGACGGGUGAGUAACGCGUGGGAAUCUGCCCUUUGGUGUGGGACAACCACGGGAAACUGUGGCUAAUACCGCAUGAGCCCGAGAGGGGAAAGCCGCAAGGCGCCGAGGGAUGAGCCCGCGUCGGAUUAGCUAGUUGGUAGGGUAACGGCCUACCAAGGCGAUGAUCCGUAGCUGGUCNGAGAGGAUGAUCAGCCACACUGGGACUGAGACACGGCCCAGACUCCUACGGGAGGCAGCAGGUGGGGAAUAUUGGACAAGUGGGGGAAACCCUGAUCCAGCCAU
rnacentral:rRNA from 1 species